UGUUAGGUUAAGUUCAGGUAUAGCUUCACUGAGGUUUGGGUUAAUGUUAGGUUAAGUUCAGGUAUAGCUUCACUGAGGUUUGGGUUAAUGUUAGGUUAAGUUCAGGUAUAGCUUCACUGAGGUUUGGGUUAAUGUUAGGUUAAGUUCAGGUAUAGCUUCACUGAGGUUUGGGUUAAUGUUAGGUUAAGUUCAGGUAUAGCUUCACUGAGGUUUGGGUUAAGGUUAGGUUAAGUUCAGGUAUAGCUUCACUGAGGUUUGGGUUAAGGUUAGGUUAAGUUCAGGUAUAGCUUCACUGAGGUUUGGGUUAAUGUUAGGUUAAGUUCAGGUAUAGCUUCACUGAGGUUUGGGUUAAUGUUAGGUUAAGUUCAGGUAUAGCUUCACUG